AUUGAACGCUGGCGGCAGGCCUAACACAUGCAAGUCGAACGAGUGGCGGACGGGUGAGUAAUGUCUGGGAAACUGCCUGAUGGAGGGGGAUAACUACUGGAAACGGUAGCUAAUCCCGCAUACCAUCGGAUGUGCCCAGAUGGGAUUAGCUAGUAGGUGGGGUAAAGGCUCACCUAGGCGACGAUCCCUAGCGGGUCUGAGAGGAUGACCAGCCAACCGGGAACGGAGACACGGGCCAGACUCCUACGGAGGGCAGCAUAGGGGAAUAUUGCACAAUGGGCGAAAGCCUGAUGCAGCCAGGCCGCGUGGAGGAAGAAGGCCUUCGGGUUGUAAAGUACGUUCAGCGGGGAGGCGUUACCCGCAGAAGAAGCACCGGCUAACUCCGUGCCAGCAGCCGCGGUAAUAC
rnacentral:rRNA from 1 species